rnacentral:rRNA from 1 species
UUGUGGUGGUGGGGUCUGGGGAUCCUCCGUGCAGGUAGGCAAGCGUGUUAACAGGGGUGACGCACAGUGGUAGCCCGGCGGACCUGAUGGCUUGGUCCGUUCAAGCGCGCAGCCCGUCCUCCAGGUAAAUCCGGGGGGCUGUCUUUGAUGACGGGGGUGAGGCGUGAUGGUGACCUCACGUUGGUGGGGGAUAACAGGGUGAUCCUGGGGUGCCGAGAAAAGCCUCGACGCGAUGGUGCCAGCCGCCCGUACCCUAAACCGACACAGGUGGUCGGGCAGAGUAUGCCUAGGCGCACGAGUGAAUCAUGGUUAAGGAACUCGGCAAAAUGCCCCCGUAACUUCGGGAGAAGGGGGGCCUGAGCCCUGAAGCCCCGUGCGGGCUAGGGGGGAGGGUCGCAGAGGCCAGGGGGAAGCGACUGUUUACUAAAAACACAGGUCCGUGCGAAGCCGUAAGGCGAUGUAUACGGACUGACGCCUGCCCGGUGCUGGAAGGUUAAGAGGAACCAUCAACCCCCUCUUGGGGGUGAAGUGGUGAA